UUCUGUCUUACUUGAGUUUCUUCUAAACUUUCAGACGACCUUUUAAAAUGCUUUCUAGAAGCAUCAUUUUCGUUUUUUUUCUUCUGUCUGUCUCAUGUCCAUGUUGCCACUUCAUUUUGGAACAGAAUGACUCCUGGCAGAAAAAGGUUGCAGUCUCUGUUCUCCAAAAAACAAUAAUAAUAAUUAUCCCAGGGGACUUAUCACAAAAUUCAGAUUUUUCCCAUCAAGAUGAUAGCAUUACACAAUUAUGUGCAAAAUUUCAACAUUAUAAUGCAUUUGGAAGUAUGAUUUCAAAACAGACAUAUAUACAU
rnacentral:lncRNA from 1 species